CCGGGCUUUCAUCACAAACCAGGUCUGGGAGCCAGUGGGGUGCCUGCCUCCUUUCUUCUUGGAACAGAGGAGCACCCAACCUGGUCUUCUGGAAACUUGCUAAGAUAUGGAAAGUGAGCUGGCGUGGAAAUGAGGGGCUGGAGAGUGCUACUGGCAUCUAGUGGACCGAGGCCAAGGGUGCUGGCUGACCGGUUACAGUACACAGGACAGUGCUCCGCAGCAAAGAACUAACCUGUGCCCCAUGUCCACAGUGCUGAGGCUGAGAAAGCGUCACUGAAACCCAGUGGAGGAGAAAUGCAGAAGCUGUAGAAGCCACCUCACAAUCUCCACACAUCUUACAGAACUCUUGGGAACAGCUUUCAUCCCUGCCUGUGUGAUCCUUAUAUGAUGACUCACAGAGGAAACCACAAAGAUGCACAUGAAAUUGACAUUGGCUCUUUGUGGUUACCCCUUAGGAAGAAGAAAAGGGAAGAAGCUUACGGUGUAGAACCAGAACUUCACAAUGGGUGCAUUGUAGAAUUCAUAGAUUUUUCUGCCCAGGGGGAUUAACCGGUGUCUGCUCUGAACUUCCUCUUCAUCCUUCUUCCUGGAAGACUCCCCGUUGUUUCGUCCCAACAUCGCCUGCAGUGGAAGAGAAUCAAUUCCAUCAUGGCAGCGCUCUGGAGAGCAUGUAGUUCAAUGUGCUCAUUUUACAGAUCAGGAAUGCAUGCUCGUAGAACCUAAGUGUUUUGUCCAAGGUCCCCAGAGAUUCAUAGGUUGUGUCUUCCCUAAGCAUACAUUUACAUCAUACAUAGAAUUAAAGGUCUUUGGCUGGGAUGGAAGGCCUUAGGGAUAUCUCUUGACCAGUCUCUUCUCUUCUACCAUAGGAGCUCUGGAAGAUUCCACAAAGGAAGAUACCCAGAGUUCUGAGAAGGAGAAAGAGUAUAACCUCAGAAGGCCAGGAAUCUAUUUUUUUCUUACCACCCCUCUUCCUGUACUAGUGAGACAGUCAGAUCUGGAUUCAAAUUCUGUCUCCACUCACGCUAAUGACUCUUAAGUAAAUACACACACACACACACACACACACACACACACUGGACCUAACUUACCCAAAGGUUAUGAGUAUUCAAGAAAUUAAGUUAUCUGAAGUGCCCAGAGCUUAGUUAGGUUAGAAACAACUCCUCAACCCUUAGGCAUAAACCUUGGUUCCUUGAUCUCAAACUUCAUAAACCUUUGCUGGUAUUAGUUUCAUAGUGAUUCCUAGGCACCCUGCCUUCCUCUGCAUGGGAGACUCAGCUGGAUGGGACUAGAAGUCAGGCCUCACCUGGAGGGGCCUCAUCUCCAACCUGUUGGAAGUUUCCUUAUGAAUCAAAUUAUUUCCUUCUCACCCAUGACAACAGCAGCAGCAAAAAUGACAACAAAACAUCACAAAAAUGGUAGAAUUUGAGAAAAGACAGAUGUAUGCCAGUCUGGGUAUCAAGUGAUGGGAUGAGUCAAAUAUGGCUGAAGAUGGUGCUGGUGAAGAGUUCCAGACUUUGGGUCAUUCGGAAGGAGGACUGAAUCCUCUCUUGGACACUCAGAACCCAUGGCACUUUGGAUCUUCUCCUGCCUCUUCCCUCAAUCACUAAAGUGGUUCUUCUGUGCAAGGCUUCUGACUAUGAACCUCCUUGAAGAAACUGCACCAAGUUAAAUGUCUUCCUUGUAAAACACUGAAGAAAAUAUAAAGAAGCAAAGCCACACAUCCUUCCAUGUCGUGUGCCCCCGAGGUAACCACUAUAGACGAGCAGCUGUGUAUCCUUCCUGGUUUCUUAAAAAUAUUAAUUUAUACAGAUAUAAUGGUGCAUAUACAGGCUUAAAAAAACCCCAAAACGGACUUGGGCUCCACAUAACUGAUCUGCAACUUGUUUUUCAUUACAUAAGAACAGACCAAGAAAGAGGCGCCUGGGUGCCUCAGUUGGUUAAGC